UCGUCCGAACUCGGAUUUGCGAACCGUUUGCGCCUACGAACUCGUAUCGAGACGAUCUACAACUUUCAUUAAGAGCAUUGGUCCAAAUUCGAACUCCAUAUUUCUGUAAAAAUCAUCAAAAUACGAGCAAGUAACAUAUUUCACAAGAUAAAGCAAUUUAAGCACGAAACAAUCAUCCAACACUCAAUUUCCUAUAAAAUUUACAU
rnacentral:lncRNA from 1 species